AAGACUAUAGACCUGCGGAGUACCUGCGGAAGGAUCAUUACAGCGCCGCGGGGUCCGCCCCGCACACGGCCACCCGUGUCUACCGUACCCUCUGUUGCCUCGGCGGGCCCGUCGCGCCUUCCCCCUCGCGGGGGUAGGUAGCCCGACCGCCGGGUGGCUCCUGCCACCCCGCCCGCGCCCGCCGGAGGACCACCGCAACCCUCCGUGAAUUCAGUGACGUCUGACCGAGAUGUGAUCUUG
rnacentral:misc_RNA from 1 species